GACGAACGCUGGCGGCGUGCUUAACACAUGCAAGUCGAACGGAAAGGCCCUGCUUUUGUGGGGUGCUCGAGUGGCGAACGGGUGAGUAACACGUGAGUAACCUGCCCUUGACUUUGGGAUAACUUCAGGAAACUGGGGCUAAUACCGGAUAGGAGCUCCUGCUGCACGGUGGGGGUUGGAAAGUUUCGGCGGUUGGGGAUGGACUCGCGGCUUAUCAGCUUGUUGGUGGGGUAGUGGCUUACCAAGGCUUUGACGGGUAGCCGGCCUGAGAGGGUGACCGGCCACAUUGGGACUGAGAUACGGCCCAGACUCCUACGGGAGGCAGCAGUGGGGAAUAUUGCACAAUGGGCGGAAGCCUGAUGCAGCAACGCCGCGUGCGGGAUGACGGCCUUCGGGUUGUAAACCGCUUUCGCCUGUGACGAAGCGUGAGUGACGGUAAUGGGUAAAGAAGCACCGGCUAACUACGUGCCAGCAGCCGCGGUGAUACGUAGGGUGCGAGCGUUGUCCGGAUUUAUUGGGCGUAAAGGGCUCGUAGGUGGUUGAUCGCGUCGGAAGUGUAAUCUUGGGGCUUAACCCUGAGCGUGCUUUCGAUACGGGUUGACUUGAGGAAGGUAGGGGAGAAUGGAAUUCCUGGUGGAGCGGUGGAAUGCGCAGAUAUCAGGAGGAACACCAGUGGCGAAGGCGGUUCUCUGGGCCUUUCCUGACGCUGAGGAGCGAAAGCGUGGGGAGCGAACAGGCUUAGAUACCCUGGUAGUCCACGCUGUAAACGGUGGGUACUAGGUGUGGGGUCCAUUCCACGGGUUCCGUGCCGUAGCUAACGCUUUAAGUACCCCGCCUGGGGAGUACGGCCGCAAGGCUAAAACUCAAAGGAAUUGACGGGGCCCCGCACAAGCGGCGGAGCAUGCGGAUUAAUUCGAUGCAACGCGUAUAACCUUACCUGGGUUUGACAUGGAUCGGGAGCGCUCAGAGAUGGGUGUGCCUCUUUUGGGGUCGGUUCACAGGUGGUGCAUGGCUGUCGUCAGCUCGUGUCGUGAGAUGUUGGGUUAAGUCCCGCAACGAGCGCAACCCUUGUUCACUGUUGCCAGCACGUUAUGGUGGGGACUCAGUGGAGACCGCCGGGGUCAACUCGGAGGAAGGUGGGGAUGACGUCAAGUCAUCAUGCCCCUUAUGUCCAGGGCUUCACGCAUGCUACAAUGGCUGGUACAGAGAGUGGCGAGCCUGUGAGGGUGAGCGAAUCUCGGAAAGCCGGUCUCAGUUCGGAUUGGGGUCUGCAACUCGACCUCAUGAAGUCGGAGUCGCUAGUAAUCGCAGAUCAGCAACGCUGCGGUGAAUACGUUCCCGGGGCU
rnacentral:rRNA from 1 species